rnacentral:rRNA from 1 species
UCGAGACCUGCAAAGCAAACCCGCGAACACGUUUCCAACACGCUUGGGUUCGCGCCGUCGGAUGGCUCGGCAUCCCUCGUCGCGCUCCCUUAUCGACGACGCACGCUUGCGUGGGUCGUUCGGUUUAACGAACAUCCCGGCGCGAGAAUCCCGUGAACCAUCGAGUCUUUGAACGCAAGUUGCGCCCGAAGCCAUUAGGUCGAGGGCNCGUCUGCCUGGGCGUCACGCAUCGCNUCGCCNNCUCCCACCCCUCUGCGAGAGCGGGUGAAUCCAAGGGGACGGACAUUGGCCUCCCGUGCUCUUCUCGUGCGGCCGGCUUAAAUUUGAGUCCUCGUCGACGGAUGUCACGACUAGUGGUGGUUGGAUCAAUCGCGUGCUGUCGUGCAAGACCCCGUCGGACUGUGGACGUCAGUACCGUCCCAGUAAUGCCACGCGCAUUCGACU